CCUACGGGUCGCACCAGUGGGGAAUAUUGCACAAUGGGCGUAAGCCUGAUGCAGCCAUGCCGCGUGUGUGAAGAAGGCCUUCGGGUUGCAAAGCACUUCCAGCGGGGAGGAAGGCGUUAAGGUUAAUAACCUUGGCGAUUGACGUUACCCGCAGAAGAAGCACCGGCUAACUCCGUGCCAGCAGCCGCGGUAAUACGGAGGGUGCAAGCGUUAAUCGGAAUUACUGGGCGUAAAGCGUACGCAGGCGGUCUGUCAAGUCGGAUGUGAAAUCCCCGGGCUCAACCUGGGAACUGCAUUCGAAACUGGCAGGCUAGAGUCUUGUAGAGGGGGGUAGAAUUCCAGGUGUAGCGGUGAAAUGCGUAGAGAUCUGGAGGAAUACCGGUGGCGAAGGCGGCCCCCUGGAUAAAGACUGACGCUCAGGUGCGAAAGCGUGGGGAGCAAACAGGAUUAGAUACCCGUGUAGUC
rnacentral:rRNA from 1 species